CUUUUAGAUGAUGAGACAUCUAUAUUAUGCACUGAUCAGCACUAUCUGGCAUCUCUUAGCAGAGAGCUUGGUGAUGGAUUUGGCGUCAAGAUUAACUUCUCUUGGGUCAAGGAAGGAUCUCUCCACAGAUAACAUCCAGUUUGGCUCUGCACUGAAGGACAGAAGAGGCUCAAGCUCUGAUUGAGAACUCAAUCCCAGCCCAUGUAAGCAUGGACUCACAUCAAAACCGUUUGGACACUAGAGGGCUUGCCUUAUUCAGUGAACAGGAUAGACCUGCUUCACAUGUGGGUCACCUUACUGCGAAGAAAGCUGUUCUGUAUACGACACUGCCUUAUUAAUUGUAGAGGUAGGUGAAUCACAAAUGAGUUGGGAGACUGGAAGAAGAAUUGAAGGGUGACACUUCUUCCCCUGGGAAUUAAAUUCAUAACUUAAAAAGUCGGCUGGCUGGCUAUUGACAGGUAUCUGAACAAGCUCCUAAGCUCACCUCAAUUAAAAUUGU